rnacentral:rRNA from 1 species
AUGGAUAGGGAAACCUCGCAACAUCUUUUCCUCACCUGCCCAGUUGCUAGGGUGGUCUGGAGAACAGUUGGAUGUGUCCUUGGCACGGACUUAUGCCCCGAUAACUUGUGGCAAUAUUUUUCGUGGUGCUACAUUUUCUUACCAGAUGGAUCUAAAUUCUAUACCUUUGGCCUUGCUGCGAUAUGUUGGGCUAUGUGGAAUUGUCGUAAUCGGGCCACAUUUGAGCAUAAGAAACUAAGAACUCCUUUUGUUGUGGUUUUUCCUGCAUGUGGAUAUAUGAACUAUUGGGCAGGCCUGAUGGAGGGAGCUGAUCGCGAGGCGAUGGAGCGCGGCGCCAAGAUGCUCAAGACCAACGCGGCUACCAUGAUGAGGAUCUGUGCGGCCCCAGCUGAAGCAGCGAUGGACUGA